rnacentral:rRNA from 1 species
UACACUCCUACGGGAGGCAGCAGUGGGGAAUAUUGGACAAUGGGCGCAAGCCUGAUCCAGCCAUGCCGCGUGAGUGAUGAAGGCCCUAGGGUUGUAAAGCUCUUUCACCGGUGAAGAUAAUGACGGUAACCGGAGAAGAAGCCCCGGCUAACUUCGUGCCAGCAGCCGCGGUAAUACGAAGGGGGCUAGCGUUGUUCGGAUUUACUGGGCGUAAAGCGCACGUAGGCGGACUAUUAAGUCAGGGGUGAAAUCCCGGGGCUCAACCCCGGAACUGCCUUUGAUACUGGUAGUCUUGAGUUCGAGAGAGGUGAGUGGAAUUCCGAGUGUAGAGGUGAAAUUCGUAGAUAUUCGGAGGAACACCAGUGGCGAAGGCGGCUCACUGGCUCGAUACUGACGCUGAGGUGCGAAAGCGUGGGGAGCAAACAGGAUUAGAAACCCCGGUAGUCCCAU